rnacentral:rRNA from 1 species
AACGAACGCUGGCGGCAUGCCUAACACAUGCAAGUCGAACGGGAUCCUAGCUUGCUAGGUGAGAGUGGCGGACGGGUGAGUAACACGUGGGAAUCUGCCUUUUGGUUCGGGAUAACCGCGGGAAACUGCGGCUAAUACCGAAUGCCCUCGAGAGAGGAAAGAUUUAUCGCCAGAAGAGGAGCCCGCGUCCGAUUAGGUAGUUGGUGGGGUAAAGGCCUACCAAGCCGACGAUCGGUAGCUGGUCUGAGAGGAUGAUCAGCCACACGUGGGACUGAGAUACCGGCCCAGACUCCGUACGGGAGCAGCAGGUGGGGAAUAGUUGGACAAGUGGGGCAA